rnacentral:rRNA from 1 species
GACACGCUGGCGGCGUGCCUGACACAUGCAAGUCGGACGGUUCUUGUAUCUUCAAGCUUGCUUGCAGGUGCAAGGAUAGUGGCGGACGGGUGAGUAACGCGUGAACAUCUACCCAUUGGAGGGGGACAACCCGUCGAAAGGCGGGCUAAUACCGCGUAAGCCGCGAGGUGAGAGGCUGCCUAUUGGUGGCCGCCGAUGGAUGGGUUCGCGUCCUAUCAGCUGGUUGGUGGGGUAACGGCCUACCAAGGCGAAGACGGGUAGCCGGCCUGAGAGGGUGACCGGCCACACUGGGACUGAGACACGGCCCAGACUCCUACGGGGGGCAGCAGUGGGGAAUCUUGCACAAUGGGCGAAAGCCUGAUGCAGCGACGCCGCGUGAGCGAAGAAGGCCUUCGGGUUGUAAAGCUCUGUCUGGAGGGACGAAGGAAGUGACGGUACCUCCGGAGGAAGCCACGGCUAACUACGUG